CCUACGGGGGACUGCAGUGAGGAAUAUUGGUCAAUGGGCGCGAGCCUGAACCAGCCAAGUAGCGUGAAGGAUGACUGCCCUACGGGUUGUAAACUUCUUUUCUCAGGGACGAAGCCAGUGACGGUACCUGAGGAAUAAGCUACGGCUAACUACGUGCCAGCAGACGCGGUAAUACGGAGGUGGCAAGCGUUAUCCGGAUUUACUGGGUGUAAAGGGAGUGUAGGCGGGAAAGCAAGUCAGAUGUGAAAACCAUGGGCUCAACCUGUGGCCUGCAGUUGAAACUGUUUUUCUUGAGUACUGGAGAGGCAGACGGAAUUCCUAGUGUAGCGGUGAAAUGCGUAGAUAUUAGGAGGAACACCAGUGGCGAAGGCGGUCUGCUGGACAGCAACUGACGCUGAGGCGCGAAAGCGUGGGGAGCAAACAGGAUUAGAUACCCGGGUAGUC
rnacentral:rRNA from 1 species